AAAAUACCUUCAUCUAUGUGAAUGAGAGAAUUUGUCCCCUCCAUAGAGAAACUGAGUAAAUAUACCUACACAACAUUCUCAGGUAACUUACAAUUGUGUACAUACACGUUGCUUUUUAACAACUAAAUAUGAGUAACUUUAAGAUCUAAAGAUCACCAGUGGCAGUUAUUUUUGAAAGUUUAGGGAUCCUCUGUAGCUAAACUCAAGUAAUGAAAGUCAUGAGGGAAAAAAUAGGAAGGAUUGCUUUGCAAAAAAGUAAAAAUAAAAAGGGUAAAUAGCUUUAUUUCAAUACAAUUAUCUUAGUGAAGAAACUUUUCUCUCUCUCCUUUUU
rnacentral:lncRNA from 1 species